rnacentral:rRNA from 1 species
CCCUUAGAUGUUCUGGGCGGCCCGCGCACUACAUUGGCACUCUCAAUAAGUUCCUAGAUCUAAAACUUUGGGGUAUUCUAUUAAGUGGUGUCGUGACUGGGAUUAACCCUUGCAAUUAUUGGUUACGAACGAGGAAUUCCUUGUAAUCGCGGUUUAUCAGCCCGCGUUGAAUGCGUCCCUGCCCUUUGUACACACCGCCCGUCGCUCCUACCGAUGGAUCGUCCGGUGAAGUUCAUGGAGUGGUGGUUGUUCCAGCUGCUGUCGAAGUGAAAUGGACCUCACGAUUUAGAGGAAGGAGAAGUCGUAACA